rnacentral:misc_RNA from 1 species
GAACUGCGAUAAGUAAUGUGAAUUGCAGAAUUCAGUGAAUCAUCGAGUCUUUGAACGCACAUUGCGCCCCCUGGCAUUCCGGGGGGCAUGCCUGUCCGAGCGUCAUUGCUGCCCUUCAAGCCCGGCUUGUGUGUUGGGUCGUCGUCCCCUCCGGGGGACGGGCCCGAAAGGCAGCGGCGGCACCGCGUCCGGUCCUCGAGCGUAUGGGGCUUUGUCACCCGCUCGAUAAGGACCGGCCGGGCGCCAGCCGGCGUCUCCAACCUUUUUUUCUCAGGCUGACCUCGGAUCAGGUAGGGAUACCCGCUGAACUUAAGC